AGUGUUUCUAAGAGACGACGCUCUCAGGUUGACCUGCGGCCCCCGGGGGCGUUCGCUGAGCAGUCUGCAGAGAGAGAGAGCUGAAUGUCGGUGGUGUCUGGAUACAGCUGAAGAGGAGAGACAAACAAGUAGCCUCCGCCUGGACUGACUCAUGUCAGUCAAACACACAUGCUCCUAUACAUUUACCUCUUUUUAAGAAUGUGUAUAUUGUCAGUCAAACUGAAUUACCCUCACUUUUUCUGUGAGAAACAGCCUCAAGCUUCUGAGUGGGGGUUUCCCAUGUGGUCGGCUGACUGACAGCUGAGAGCCAGCCUUGCUAGAAGACACCCUUACACCCUUACCCUGAUGCUCUGCUGACUGCAGAACUUACUGUGGCCUAGAAACGUUGAUAGAAUAUUAGCAUUAAUCCAUAAAUCAUCUUUUGUGGGGUCAUAUCCAUACUGUUGAUUAAAUUCUUACCCUUCCUGA